rnacentral:pre_miRNA from 1 species
AUAGUACUCCUUUCGUCCGUAAAUAUUUAUAAGAAAAAUGGAUAUAUUGAGACAUAUUUUAGUUCUAAAUACAUCCAUUUUUAUCCAUUUCCUCAACAAGUCUUUUCGGACAAAGGGAGUGUGUA